UGAGAUUGUGCAGGCACUUGUAGAAUUAGCUGCCCAGGUGGAUGCUAAUAUUAUAUCUGAGUCUGAUGCCCGUGACCGAGUUGAGCAGGUCAUAGAGAGCUUGGCUGCAUACUCUGCCGUCACAGAUUCAGAAGUUAAUGAGGUUGCCUUCACUAACCUCUCUUCAGUCCUGGAACAACUGGAUGCUGUCCAGCCUCAAAGGGGACGAGGACGACCAGCCAUCGACAUCCCUUUCGAGGCCAUAGAGAACUAUUUAUUAAAUGGGUUCAAAGUGAAGGAAAUAGCGGAGCUGUUCGGCGUAGGCUACUAGACCAUCCGUCGGAGGAUGCAAAGCAACGGAUUGAGAAUGUCUGACAUGUAUUCUGCACUGAGUGACGAAGAGCUGGAUGCCAUCAUUGCAGAAAUCCACCAAAGUCACCCUAACACAGGAUACAGGAUGAUGAAGUCAUUCCUUCAUGCCAGGGGACUGCUAGUGCAAAGAUAGAACACCUAUGGAGAGAUGUGUACAUCCAAGUCCUGGACCCAUUCCAUGUUCUCUUUCGAAACCUGGAGAGAGAAGGGAUGUUGAAUCCUGAUGAUGAGAGUCAUCUUUUUGCACUCCACUGGGCUUUUCUGCCUCAACUACAGAGGCAACUGGCCUUCUUCAUGGAUGCUUGGAACAGUCAUAGCCUGAGAACAGCAGGUAGCCAGUCUCCUUACCAACUUUGGGCAUCAUUCAGAAACCUUGAGGAUCCCAAUGAGGUGGAGGCAGACUAUGGUAUUGAUUGGGAUGGACCGUAUGGCUUUGAUGACCUUGGAGGUCAAAGGGAACAAGUUGAUGUACCCCAAGUGCAGCUGCAGCAACACGUGACUGAGGAGGACAUGGCUUGCUUACCUGACCCCAAUGUUCCCUUCUUGGAUGCACUGGACAUCUACACAGCCACACUACAGCAGUUGAUGCAGUGACAGUCUCCCCCUCCCCUUCUCCUAUCCAGGACUGGAUAAAUAGGAGUGAGGCUGCAGGACCAAGAGGUGCAUUCAUACACACUACUCCAAAAAAGUUAGAGAUAUUCAACUUUUGGGUCAAAUUUAUGGAAAAUGUAAAAAGUUCAUGCUACAUGAUAUAUCAUGAAAGUAGGGCAUUCUCUGCCGUUCUGAGACUCUUCCAGUCUAUCUCUGUCUGUUACAACCUGCUGAUGACACUGUGAGACUCUAAGCUCAGUGGCAACUUCCCUCUGAGAACAUCCCACUUGAAGCCUUGUAAUUACUACUACUAUUACUACUACUACUUAUUAUUGGUGAUCGAUUGUCUUGGUCUCAUGUCAAAAUGUGAACAGCUUGAUGAAGAGGACUGUUUAAAUAUAGAAGAGCGGCAGAUGGGUUAGGAUAAAGUGUCCGUCCCUUGUUUGAAUGUCAUUAUCAGUGAAAAUGAGUUGUUACUUUUAUAGUGUUAUAAAAGUUCCUGUUGUGCUCCACUUUUGGAUUUGGACAUUGUAUAGAGUUUAAAUAUUGUCAAAUAUUAAACAAGUCUGCCUUAAAUUUAAUUAUACAUCCUACUACUGUAAUUGGGGAAAA